CAAAUAGGAUUGCCUACAUUA
rnacentral:siRNA from 1 species